AGCAAUUCCCUCAAACACACACUCAAACUUCUUCUUCAGGUUCGAUUUGAGUUCACGUUGGUACACUGCAGCAAGAGUUUCUGAAUGAA